AAAAAGAUUCCUAGAGGUUAGCAAUACAAAUUCUCCUAUCUAGUCUGUAAAAGAAAGUUGAAAGGAAUCGAGAAUAAUAGUAACAAGGUAGACCCAUUAAUUUAAGAUUGUAAAAACCUUGAAUAUAAUAAUUUGAUCAACUAUAACACAUUGGCAGACAAUAUCAGAUUGCAUAUACAAUUAGAUGGCUUAAAUAAAAAUGCACAAAUCAGUAUGAAAUUUCAGUAGUGCAACCAAACCUCCCAUGCAAGUGGCGACUGAAAACAAUAACAUCAGCCCCAAGUCUCAUAGUGCUAGUCUUAAAGCCAUUACCAUAUUGUCCAAUAGCAGAUUUG
rnacentral:misc_RNA from 1 species